UUUAUAUAGGAGGAGGGGCAUCAUUUACGGGACAAGGAGGAUUUCAGGAACAAAGUUCAGGACUUCAUCAAAAACUAUGCAAGAUGAUGUCUCUGUUGAGCCACACUCACAUGCAUGUGACUUUGCAGAUGUACGUCGAUCCAGACUGCAACAGAGACAAAAUCUCAAACUAUUAAAACAUACUUGGGGAAAGAAGAAUGUUAAAAUCCAUAAUGAAUGACACCGCAAGUCCCUGAUCAAGAUUUGGGAGGGAGGGAGGGGGGUGAGGCCUUACUGUCCAUUUCCGAUGGCUUUUUUUUGUUUGUUUUUUGAAGCGGGCACUCAUGCAGGUUCUUUCUAAAUCAAGUUUGCUUUUACCCCCACCCACAAAAAAAAAAAAAAAGAAAGAAAAAGAAGUACAAAGAUGGUGAUCAUGAAAAUGAGGACGUAUAACCUCUCUGAUGUCACCUCCUAUGCUAGUGCCUCUGUGUUUUUUGCCUCAUAUAACUGGACAUACGUUGUAAGCCAACUUCUGCGGCCUGCUUCUUCUCAAAACUUGACAACCUACAAACACUGAGAUUAAUUUGUUCAUAAGUGAUGUCAUAGAAAUCCCAAAGUUCCAUUGGUUCAUUCGCUCUGGGGGAGGAGUCGACCAAUGGAGGAAUCGCAAAAUAUAUAGCACUGAUGUCUCGCAGAAUACGUCCCAGCGGAUUCUGUAAAGCCAUUUCAUGUAACUCCUCCCUUCACACCUCUCUUCAUGUAAAAUAACUGCAGUUAUCAGACUACUCUGUAUCACAUGUGCACAUGAGCAAAUAUCAAAAUAUCUGUGUGUGCCUCUGAAUGAGUUAUGAAACUGUUUCAGUUCAAAUAUGUGAGGUGUUUGCGGGUGAAUCUCACGAUUGUCCGGGUCCCAUUUUUAUGGAAGCCAGUUAACACAAUGAAAUAAAAGUAAAAAAUGUAAAUGUGACCUUUUAUCUAACAAUUCUGACUUUAUAUGCACAAAAAUAUAUAAACUCAGAAUUGUGAGAAAGUCAGAAUUCUGAAUUACUUUGUUGUAAUUCCAAGUUUAUAUCUUGCAAUUUUGACUUUUUCCCCUGAAUUCUGUGAAUUCUCACAAUUCUAUUUUUAUUUAAUUUUUUGCCACGGAAUAAUAAUAAAAAAAGUAAUUGAAAGUGAGUUUAUAUGUCAUAAUCUGGACUUUUAUUCUUAGAAUUGAGAGUUUAUCUUGCAAUUGUGAGUUAACAUCUCAAUUCUAAGAAAAAAGUCUGAAUUAUGAGGUUAAAGACAUAAGAACAUAAUUGUAAGAAACGCAGAAUUGUGAGAAAAAAGUUUGGAUUGUAAAAUAAAAAGCCACAAUGUCCUUAUUAUUAUUUUAAUCCCGUGGCAGAAACAAGCUUUCCUACAUUUUACCCACAAAUCAAAGGGUAAAAACUCUAUUUUGCUCUAUAUGUGCUGAUAAAGAUUUUGAGUUGAGACAUUAUUUUUUGAUAAAUUAAGCACAUUUUCCCCACAUUUAAACAAUAUAUAACUUUUCCUGCAUUGGGGCAGUGAGCAUUUUGUCAAAACUUAAUUAUCAUCAAAUAAUAAAAAAAAGCAAAAUAUUAUUUCCUUGUACUUUUACAAGGAAAUAAUUUCGGGUUUCGUGAGAUUCACUCUUGCUCUCGUAUGCAUUUUCGUCAGUGUAUACACGUUCAGCUUUACCGAUGUGUGCAUGUACACAAGAAUACCUGUAUGCUUGUACUGUGUUUGUGUGAAAGUGUGUGUGUGUUUGAGCGGGAGAGACUGGGUUUUUAAUUCAUGUCUGAUUUGGUAGCAUGCACUGGGCUACUGAACUGCUCAGCCGUAAAGCCUGUUCAAUUAGUGUGGAUUUACUUUAUUUAAAUUGAUUUCUUUUUCUCCUUAGAGGUAUAUAUCCAUUUGUAAAGUAUAUUAAAGAAGAAUUCUACCACAAA